UGGUCGAGCUGAGAAGUUUGCGUCUGAUUGUGUUCGUCAAGCUCGUUCGUUGUCCCGAAGAUGAUUAACUGGCGUGAAGAACCCUAGAAAUUGCUCUGCAAGAGAGAAUUUCUCAGAGACCUUGAGAGAGAGAGAGAGAGAGAGAGAGAGAGAGAGAGAGAGAGAGG